GGGGCUUUUCCGAGUCUGGUGGCCCGGCUGUUGGAUCUAAAAGCUGGGGCUGGAGACCAGGGGUGGGGCGCUCUCCGUCUCUGUUUGCGAAACGCUGACUUGUAACAGUCCCAUCCUUUGUGCUGGAAACUUCGUGUCGUCUAGACAGAGCUGCUGAUGGUAUCCUCAGCUUUCUGCUCCCAGAUGCUUCUGAAUACUGCAAUGCUAAGCUGAUGUGACCAGAAAGCAGAGCUCAUAGCAGUGAUUUCCUUACCAGGCAAAGAGAGACACCACACAGAAGAGCAGAGGCAUGGGUAGGCAAUGGAGUACCCCAACAGCCUCUCGGAACACCUGGAUCCAGCCUGCUCAUAGCCCAGAAGUUUGUUCAUGAACUAUUUGUCAAGUCUGUCAUUUCCUUUUUAUAUACAAGAUGGUUUAAGCUUUUA